rnacentral:lncRNA from 1 species
CAAAACUAUAAUUUUUUAUUAAUUUAUAAAGAUUUUAAUUUAUCGAUAUACUAAUUGAACCAAAAAGUUAAUUUGAGUAAAAUUAUACUAUUUUAUAAAAAAAAUUAGUGUAUAUUAAUUUAUAGAUUAUUAAUUUAAAGAGGUUAUACUGUAUAUAGAAAUCAUUAGUUAUAUAAUACAUGAUAAUGAAUAAUACGGAGAUAUUGGAUGCUUCUUUUUUUUUUUUUUGCUAAGUAUGUGAAUUCAUU